GAACCUCAUCACUUUGGAAAACUUUGGAUCAGCAGAGAAGAAGCUCUAUGACCGUUAGAGGACCGUUAAAGGACCGACCGUUAGAGGACCGUUAGAUGACCGUUAGAGGACCGUUAGAGGACCGUUAGACGACCGUUAAACGACCGUUAAAGGACCGUUAGAGGACCGUUAAAGGACCGUUAGAGGACCGUUAGAGGACCGUUAGAGGACCGUUAGAUGACCGUUAAAGGACCGUUAGAGGACCGUUAGAGGACCGUUAGAGGACCGUUAAAGGACCGUUAGAGGACCGUUAGAGGACCGUUAGAGGACCGUUAGAUGACCGUUAAAGGACCGUUAGAGUCACUUCUUUCUGGACAUCACUAAAGAAUUAAAGGACACUAUGCAGUGAGUGAAUUAUUAAUAUGAAAUGGAUAAACUUCUUCCUGCUGAAACAGAAGCAGUCUGGUGCUGCUGCGUGUGAGAGGCUCUGAACUCACCUGAACUCACCUGAGGUCAGCUGAAAGUUUGAAAGUUUGAAGUUUCUGGUCUGAGAUCAGAGUGGAUCUGGAUCAGGAUCUGGAUCAGGAUCUGGAUGAGGAUCAGGUGUUGUGGAGCAGGUCGAGCUGAUGGCACGCGCCUCUUUGAGUCUUCUUUGCUUUUUAGUUUUGGAUGAUUUGGAUGAGCUCGUGCUCGUGGUGAGCCUGGCACACGACCGGCCUCAGCCCUCUUAUAUAUAGACCCAGAACCCGGGACAAUGCCCGGCCCCCUGCUCCGGUACCCCCCCACCGGGCUGCAGGUCUGCCCCGUGCCGGAGGGGGGGGGAGCUCAUUAACAUAAUGACGCGCGCACAGAAGCGUGCCGGUAAUCACGGCCAGCCAAUCAGAGGAGGAGGAGGCCGGCCACGCGAGCGACACGCAGGGAGACAUAACCCCCCCGUAAGACCCCCCCAAACCCAAACCACCCCCCCACAAAACAUCACCCCCUCCGGGAGGCAGAGAGACCAAAGAGACCAAAGAGACCAGAGAGACCAAAGAGACCAGAUCCACCUUCAGAGUUAAAACCAAAAACAUAAAGAAUAAAGAAGAGUCAGGAGAACCCCCCCCCCCCCCCCCCCCCCCCCCCCACACCCUGCAGGGAGGAGACACGCUCCGGAGGAUUCACUCAUCCAUCCUCCAUCACUCCAUUCAUCCCUCCAUCAUCUAUUAAUACUUCUCCUCCUUCACUUCAGUAAAGACACAAAGAAACUCUGAAACAUUCAGUUUCACUUCUUUACUUUAAAUCAGUGAAAAGUUUCCUCAGUGAGUGAAGCAGCACAUUUAAUCUGUUGUUGUGUUUAUUCAUCAAGUCACAUAAUGAGGAGGAACUAAUAACACAUUUAUCUGUGCAAUAUAUCCUUGAUGCAAAUUACACCUCCAGUGCAACUUUGUCUAAAUUUUAUUUAUUACAUCUACCCUACCUCCUAUUUUACAAGAGCAAUUAUCUCUGUUUACAUUACAUCUAUUUCUAUAUUUUAUACCUCUAGUGUAACACUUCUGUUUAUAUUUAUUUAUUACAUCUACUUUAGCUGUUUUAUAUUACUUUUUAACUGUUUGUUUUC